rnacentral:rRNA from 1 species
UGGGGAAUAUUGGACAAUGGGCGCAAGCCUGAUCCAGCAAUGCCGCGUGUGUGAAGAAGGCCUGAGGGUUGUAAAGCACUUUCAAUAGAGACGAAAAGCUUAGAGUUAAUACCUCUGAGUCUUGACUUAACCUAUAGAAGAAGCACCGGCUAACUCCGUGCCAGCAGCCGCGGUAAUACGGAGGGUGCAAGCGUUAAUCGGAAUUACUGGGCGUAAAGCGCUCGUAGGCGGUUUGUUAAGUCGGAUGUGAAAGCCCCGGGCUUAACCUGGGAACUGCAUUCGAUACUGGCAGACUAGAGUAUAGUAGAGGCAAGUGGAAUUCCGGGUGUAGCGGUGAAAUGCGUAGAUAUCCGGAGGAACAUCAGUGGCGAAGGCGACUUGCUGGACUAAUACUGACGCUGAGGAGCGAAAGCGUGGGGAGCAAACGGGAUUAGAUACCCCCGUAGUCC